ACUCAAAUGAAUAGACGGGGGCCCGCACAAGCGGCGGAGCAUGUGGAUUAAUUCGAUGCAACGCGAAGAACCUUACCUGGGUUUGACAUGCACCAGAUGCCGGUAGAGAUGCCGGUUCCCUUGUGGUUGGUGUGCAGGUGGUGCAUGGCUGUCGUCAGCUCGUGUCGUGAGAUGUUGGGUUAAGUCCCGCAACGAGCGCAACCCUCGUUCCAUGUUGCCAGCAUUUCGGAUGGGGACUCAUGGGAGACUGCCGGGGUCAACUCGGAGGAAGGUGGGGAUGACGUCAAGUCAUCAUGCCCCUUAUGUCCAGGGCUUCACACAUGCUACAAUGGCUCAUACAGAGGGCUGCGAGACCGUGAGGUGGAGCGAAUCCCUUAAAGUGGGUCUCAGUUCGGAUCGGGGUCUGCAACUCGACCCCGUGAAGGUGGAGUCGCUAGUAAUCGCAGAUCAGCAACGCUGCGGUGAAUACGUUCCCGGGCCUUGCACACACCGCCCGU
rnacentral:rRNA from 1 species